CACUCUGCUAUUCAUCUCUGUUUUUAUGUUGCGGCUUUUGAGCCGGGUCGUAACACUGAAGAUUACAAAGAUCAACAUUAAGACCAGUCUGUGCAUUCAAAGCAGUGACAGAAAAGAGUGUGGGGCAUUAACCCCCACUCACUUCACAGUUCACGUUCACAGCGAGCUUCGUCGAAAUUUACAAUGAGACCCUGAGGGACCUUGUGUUCACCGGCAAGUCCAGCAAGAGACCUGAGCAUGAGAUCCGCAAGACAGCCAGCAACGAAUUGACAAUCACUAAUCUCACCUAUGAGCGGGUCUCCAAUGAGGAUCAGGUUCUCCGUCUGAUUGCUUUGGCCAAUCAGAAUCGCUCCACUGCCCAGACAGCCCAGAAUGACCGCUCGUCUCGCUCCCACUCAGUCUUCCAGCUGGAUAUUGAGGGAGUUAAUGCCGGCAGGGAUGUCAAGUGCAAAUCCACUCUGUGCCUGGUGGACUUGGCUGGCAGUGAGCGAAUGGUGAAGAGCCAGUCUCAGGGUGACCGUUUCAAAGAGAUGACCGCCAUCAACAGCUCACUGUCCAACCUGGGCGUCGUUAUCGCCGCUCUGGCCAAAAAGGUCUGCAGCUGACUGGUUUUUUAAGGAAGCAAAAGAAGAUCAGAUCAGAUGAGCAUGAUGUGUCUAUUGGAAACAAGUUCAAAGAAUUGUCUAAUAAUGAGUUGCUGUGCAUCCACACUGCCUGACAUAUUUUACCUUUACAAAUAAAGCAGGUACAACAGAUUCAUAUACCAAAACAAAUGUCAGGAACUUCACCAG